rnacentral:rRNA from 1 species
GGACUACCAGGGUAUCUAAUCCCGUUCGCUCCCCUGGCUUUCGCACCUGAGCGUCAGUAACUCCCCAGGACACUGCCUUCGCCUUUGGUGUUCCUCCGGAUCUCUACGCAUUUCACCACUCCACCCGGAAUUCCGUGUCCCUCUGAAGCCCUCAAGUCGCGCCGUUUUCCUGCUCCUUCCCUAGUUGAGCCAGGGACUGUCAGCAGAAACGCGCUCGACCGCCUGCGUGCGCUUUACGCCCAGUAACUCCGGACAACGCUCGCCUCCUACGUAUUACCGCGGCGGCUGGCAC